rnacentral:rRNA from 1 species
CCUACGGGUGGCAGCAGUAGGGAAUCUUGCUCAAUGGGGGAAACCCUGAAGCAGCAACGCCGCGUGGAGGAUGAAGGUUUUCGGAUCGUAAACCCCUUUUGUUAGAGAAGAUAAUGACGGUAUCUAACGAAUAAGCACUUGCUAACUCCUUGCCAGCAGCCGCGGUAAUACGGAGGGUGCAAGCGUUACUCGGAAUCACUGUGCGUAACGAGCGCGUAGGCGGGUUAGCAAGUCUGAUGUGAAAUCCCAUGGCUUAACCAUAGAGCUGCAUUUGAAACUGGUAUUCUAGAGUAUGGGAGAGGUAAGUGGAAUUCUAGGUGUAGGGGUAAAAUCCGUAGAGAUAAAGAGGAAUACUCGUUGCGAAGGCGACCUGCUAGAACAUAACUGACGCUGAUGCGCGAAAGCGUGGGGAGCAAACAGGAUUAGAUACCCGAGUAGUC